GCGCAGCUAUACAUGCAGUCGACGAACUCUGGUAUUGAUUGGUGCUUGCAUCAUGAUUUACAUUUGAGUGAGUGGCGAACUGGUGAGUAACACGUGGGAAACCUGCCCAGAAGCGGGGGAUAACACCUGGAAACAGAUGCUAAUACCGCAUAACAACUUGGACCGCAUGGUCCGAGUUUGAAAGAUGGCUUCGGCUAUCACUUUUGGAUGGUCCCGCGGCGUAUUAGCUAGAUGGUGGGGUAACGGCUCACCAUGGCAAUGAUACGUAGCCGACCUGAGAGGGUAAUCGGCCACAUUGGGACUGAGACACGGCCCAAACUCCUACGGGAGGCAGCAGUAGGGAAUCUUCCACAAUGGACGAAAGUCUGAUGGAGCAACGCCGCGUGAGUGAAGAAGGGUUUCGGCUCGUAAAACUCUGUUGUUAAAGAAGAACAUAUCUGAGAGUAACUGUUCAGGUAUUGACGGUAUUUAACCAGAAAGCCACGGCUAACUACGUGCCAGCAGCCGCGGUAAUACGUAGGUGGCAAGCGUUGUCCGGAUUUAUUGGGCGUAAAGCGAGCGCAGGCGGUUUUUUAAGUCUGAUGUGAAAGCCUUCGGCUCAACCGAAGAAGUGCAUCGGAAACUGGGAAACUUGAGUGCAGAAGAGGACAGUGGAACUCCAUGUGUAGCGGUGAAAUGCGUAGAUAUAUGGAAGAACACCAGUGGCGAAGGCGGCUGUCUGGUCUGUAACUGACGCUGAGGCUCGAAAGUAUGGGUAGCAAACAGGAUUAGAUACCCUGGUAGUCCAUACCGUAAACGAUGAAUGCUAAGUGUUGGAGGGUUUCCGCCCUUCAGUGCUGCAGCUAACGCAUUAAGCAUUCCGCCUGGGGAGUACGGCCGCAAGGCUGAAACUCAAAGGAAUUGACGGGGGCCCGCACAAGCGGUGGAGCAUGUGGUUUAAUUCG
rnacentral:rRNA from 2 species